CACGCAGGCGGCCGUGUAAGUUUGGGGUUACAGCUCCCGGCUCAACUGGGAGAGCGCCUUGAAGACUGCAGGACUUGAGGGCCAGAGAGGGACACAGAAUUCCGGGUGUAGUGGUGAAAUGCGUAGAUAUCCGGAGGAAUACCAAAGGCGAAGGCAGUGUCCUGGCUGGUGACUGACGCUGAGGUGCGAAAGCUAGGGGAGCGAACGGGAUUAGAUACCCCGGUAGUCCUAGCCGUAAACGAUGACCACUAGGUGUGGGAGGUAUCGACCCCUUCCGUGCCGCAGUUAACACAGUAAGUGGUCCGCCUGGGGAGUACGGUCGCAAGAUUAAA
rnacentral:rRNA from 1 species